rnacentral:rRNA from 1 species
GGAAAGGCGCGCGAUACAGGGUGACAGCCCCGUACACAAAAAUGCACAUGCUGUGAGCUCGAUGAGUAGGGCGGGACACGUGGUAUCCUGUCUGAAUAUGGGGGGACCAUCCUCCAAGGCUAAAUACUCCUGACUGACCGAUAGUGAACCAGUACCGUGAGGGAAAGGCGAAAAGAACCCCGGCGAGGGGAGUGAAAAAGAACCUGAAACCGUGUACGUACAAGCAGUGGGAGCACGCUUAGGCGUGUGACUGCGUACCUUUUGUAUAAUGGGUCAGCGACUUAUAUUCUGUAGCAAGGUUAACCGAAUAGGGGAGCCGAAGGGAAACCGAGUCUUAACUGGGCGUUAAGUUGCAGGGUAUAGACCCGAAACCCGGUGAUCUAGCCAUGGGCAGGUUGAAGGUUGGGUAACACUAACUGGAGGACCGAACCGACUAAUGUUGAAAAAUUAGCGGAUGACUUGUGGCUGGGGGUGAAAGGCCAAUCAAACCGGGAGAUAGCUGGUUCUCCCCGAAAGCUAUUUAGGUAGCGCCUCGUGAAUUCAUCUCCGGGGGUAGAGCACUGUUUCGGCAAGGGGGUCAUCCCGACUUACCAACCCGAUGCAAACUGCGAAUACCGGAGAAUGUUAUCACGGGAGACACACGGCGGGUGCUAACGUCCGUCGUGAAGAGGGAAACAACCCAGACCGCCAGCUAAGGUCCCAAAGUCAUGGUUAAGUGGGAAACGAUGUGGGAAGGCCCAGACAGCCAGGAUG